ACGAACUGAGAGGAGGGAAGGGAGGGGACGCGAGGCAAACAUAGCGGUGAGAUCGUGAGAAGAAAGCUGUCUGGAUUCGCGAUCUGGGGAAAGGGUUUACCUCUGGGGAUCGGAAGAGGUGGAGGGGGAGAUCGAAGGAGGCGGCGGCGGCGCGAGGAAGGGGGCGGCUUUGGCUUUGCGACCGCAGCGUAACCCAUCGCCAACAGCAGCCGCCACCGCCCGCUGCCGCAAGCGUUGAUGCUGCUGCCUUCCGAAACGUGACCGCCCCAUACCAGCGACUCCGUGCCGCCAGACCUUCACCGCCCCAUGCCUGAACAGACGCAAAAAAUCGCCCGCAUCCGCAUCGCCCUCCUCUUCCGCCGCCGUCCAUGCCUCCUUCGCCGCUACCCUCCACCCCGAACCCACGCUGCUCGAGCUGGCUGCUCUAUCCUCGUGCAUAACAAGAGAAAUAUUCCUGGGCCUGGAAUUGUUGAUGGAAGCUUAAGGGUUUGCCAAAAGGAAGACGGCUACUUUUGCUUGCUGAAAUGAGCUCAGCUGGCAACUUUAUAACGGAGAUCACACUGCAGCAGCUGUAAAGAUCUCCUGUGUUUAUCCACGCUACUCCUGGAGUGCAGAUGGUUUCUGGAGCAGAUGCUCUUGGGCAACAAUACACCACAACUUACUCUUUUCAUGCAGAGAAAGGGCUCAUGGGAGCAGAGGGACAAAGGAGUUACAUGAUUGAACCAGAUAUCACAUGAAACCCCAAGAACAAGAUGUGAGCUUAUCAUUAAGCCAUAACCCUGAUCCGGUGUACUUUUGACGAUUCUAGGGAUAGAACCAACAAAAUGAAGAAGGUUGACCAUAAUGGAAACUAGCAGGUCCCAAGCUGAUUUUGAAAGCCUUGGAUAAUUGGAUUCAUUUAUGCGUCUCCAGGAAUAUUAUCCUCGUGGUCUCAGAUUAAUAAGCCGAUGUUCAGUUAGAACAACGUCAACCAUGAUACCAUUUCACUGAGUAAUCAGGAGUUGCUACGAGGAGAUAGUACGCUGCCAGCAAGAAGCUAUGCCGGGAAUGAAUGAGUGCUUGGCAAAUGGACGCUCGGAAUGGUCUGUUGUUAUUGGGCUAUCUAGAUGAGCCUAGAUAGGCAAAUGGGCUGUGUUGAAGUUCGAUUUUUUGAAGUUUGCUCCAUGGACAAGAUAGAAGGCGGGGCAAGAAGGCCAAGCAUGAUAGGCUGACUGUCAAAUUUCUGAAGAACCUUAUUCAGCCUGAGCUCACUGACGAGGUUCUCAGAACUGAUGUUGAGGCUGCACUGCAAGUUCUGAAUUUUGCAAAUAUGUAGCAUAUACAUGAGUUACUUGGGGAUAGUCAUCAAAUAUGUAGCAUAUGUUUCAUAUUACCUUCUCGGCAUUGCUUCGGGACAGUCCAUUGCUAUUGCUAUGUUUCACGUGUCGAUUAUAUCAUUUGUUCUCUUCCCACCUUUUGACAAGGGCUUGGAAUAUGUACACCCAAAGAGCAAUGUCUUGUUAUGUGAUAUAAUGAGUAGUGUUAA